GGCCAAGUCAAAAAGCAAGCCCCAAUAUACUUUGUAUCCGAAGUUCUUAGUUUAUCAAUGAAAAAUUAUACAAAAUUGGAGAAGGUGCUGAAUGCUGUUUUGAUGGCCUCCAGAAAGCUUCGACACUAUUUUCAAGCAUACAAUAUAAUUGUUCCUUCUUCACAACCAUUGAAGGAUAUUAUGAGAAAUAGAGAAGCUACUGGAAGGGUUGGAAAAUGGGCUGCGGAACUCAAUGAAUUUUGUAUUGAUUAUGUGCAUAGAUCUUCGAUUCAGUCCCAAGCGUUGGCAGACUUUAUUGCUGACUGGACGCCAGGGGCUCAGGAAGAAGAAAUGAGUAAAGAUGCCGAAGUUUGGACAAUAUUUUGUGAUGGUUCUUGGGGAACCUUCGGAGCAGGAGCAGCUGCUGUGUUGGUCGCACCUUCCAAAGUUAAAACUUGCUACGCAACAAGACUUGAUUUCAGUUGCACAAAUAACAUUGCUGAAUAUGAAGCUUUCCUCUUGGGUCUUUGGAAAUUAAAGGCAAUGGGAAUUAGAAGGGCGGUUCUUAAAACCGAUUCCCAGGUUAUUUCUGGUCAUAUUGACAAGAGUUAUAAAGCAAGAGAUCCGAAGCUUGAAAAGUAUUUAGACACGGUCCAAAGGAUUGAGGCUUCCUUUGAGGGGUUUUCUGUCAAAAAUAUUCCUCGAGGAGAAAAUGAAUAUGCUGAUUUGUUAUCCAAGUCAGCAGCACAGGGGCUGCCCUUACCUUCGGAAGUAUUUUUCGAAACAUUAAAAGCACCUUCGGUCGAGCUUCUUGAAAGAGCAGUCCUCAACAUAUCUCCUGUCUAUAGUGAAGACUGGAGAACUGAGAUCAUUUCUUUCCUUCAGGGCAACUUUCUUUCAGAUGACGAAGCUUAUAAUAAGAGGAUAGAGGCAAGAGCUUGACCAUAUGUAAUAAUAGAAGGGGAGCUAUACAAGCAUGGGGUCUGUUCUCCAUUACUCAAAUGUUUAUCCAGAGCCGAAGGUAUAGAAUUGAUGAAGGAAAUACACAGAGGCCUGUGUGGAUCUCAUAUUGGAUCUAGGCCUUUGCUGGGAAAAGUAUUUCGCCAAGGAUUUUAUUGGCCAAAGGCAGCUUCAGAUGCAGCGGAAUUAGUCCAAAUGUGCGAAGGUUGUCAGAAAUGUGCAAGAGAUGAAAAACAACCUUCGUCUUUAACCCAGUUAAUACAACCCACUUGGCCAUUGCAAAGGUGGGGUCUUGAUUUAUUAGGUCCAUUACCACCAGCACAAGGGAACUUAAGAUAUGUUGUAGUGGCAGUAGAAUAUUUUUCUAAAAGGAUUGAGGCAAAGCCUUUAGCCACAAUAACUUCGGUCACUAUUCAAAAGUUUUUCUGGCAAAAUAUUGUUUGUCACUUCGGAGUGCCGAAGGCUAUUACUGUGGAUAAUGGGACGCAGUUUGAUUCUGGAGCUUUCAGAGAAUUUUGUGAUCAAAUUGGCACGAAGAUCCAUUUUUGUAAAGCCCAAAAUUUAUGUAAAAAUAAUAAUAAUAUGCAAUCUAAUCCAUCCCUUAUAAGCUAUGUAUUAAGAAUACUCUUUAAAGUAGUUAGAUUAAAAUAAUUUAUUAUAGGAACUUCCCAUUAUCCUCUACUAGAAUAAAAAGGAAUGAUGAUUCUAAGAUUUUAGUAACUCAAAAUUUUGAUUGGAAACUAGAAAUUAAAAUUUGAACUCCAAACAUAAAAAUGUGUGAUUUCCAAACUAAUUGGUUUCGAGAGAAUACUCCUUACUCGAAUAGUAUCUUUAGAGGGGUCAACAUGAAUUAAUUAAAAUAAACCUUGCAUCAUGCUGGGAUUUUAUGGCUUGUGCAUUUAGGUUUGUCAAACUUAAACUUGAAUUUGAAUUUGUGAACCGAAAAUUGACUUGAAUCUAAAAUAAAAAAACACAGAAAUUAGAAAAAAAAUAGAAAGUAGAAAAAAAAUGGUGAAUUGGCCGGCCGGCUGGGUCGGAUUUUCCAGCCAAUUUAUCUUUUUCUGACGGCAGCUCACAUCCCCUUGAUUUUUUUCCAUUUCUUUAUUCCUCUAGCCGAAUUUUGCUUCAUCAUGAGAUCGUAGAUGGCAUUAUCCAAUGAGUCUCCGUCGUGUGGAGUGCUUAGACCAGUUCAUCUUCUACCGAGAACGGAACGUGGACCAGAGUUCCGCCCGGAUUUUUCUCGCCGAAAACCAACGACCUCUACCAGGAGCUUUAGUGCCUCAGCCAGUACGUGAUGGCGCGCUUCUUGCACUAAUCUAUGGGAUCCAAUUACCAGCUAUUUCUCCUCCAACGGAAUCCUUCUCAGACCCGGAUCACCGUAAUCAGUUGCCGCCAUAUCCGGCUUGAGUUUGAUCCAUGCAUGCUAUAACAAACUGCCGAGAGAUUCUCUCUGACUCAGGAUAUAAAGCCCCUGCGACCCCGGCCACCCAAACGCAUAGCACCAGAGAGACGAGAGGGGUGAGAGAAGAACCCAGCCGCCGCCGUCGAACUCGAUCGUGUUGUGUCUGGCCUAGUCCUUGAUGAGAAGUUGUGGGGGUUCACCGAGGACUACAGAGCGAGAGAUCGGGAGAGAGAGAGUGAAGAAAGGUCUCCAUCGGCGGCGUCCGUUUCGUCGCGGGGCGUGGGUCACCAGUGGCGAGCAGUUUUCCUGGCGCGCUAAUCUCUGGUGAGCUCCGUUUUUUUUCUUCUUCCGCUGCGAAGUAAUCAACCGCCAAUUUUGUUACUCGAUAGGGGCGGGAUAUGGCGCGGAUGGAGCCUGGGGUUCACCGGUAUUUUAGUGGAGAUCGGCGGCGAGCUAUGGAGUUCCCGCCAUGGAGCGCUGUCGGUUGUGUCGGGACGCUGUGAGGUAGAAGAAGGUCGGCGUCCGUUGACCUCGUGCUGUACGGUGGUGAUUAGAAGAUGCCUAAUACCCCUUCACCGUGUGCUUUUUAUAUAAGAGACCCUAGAAAAUAUGUUAACUAACCCGCAGUACUGCGCCGGGGGCUCUGUGUCUUAGGAACAUUUAUGUAGAGGCCCCUGCUCUUCUCUGUUUUCAUGUGCCCAAUCCCGAGAUUUAUAAAAUCCAGUAAAAGUAAUUAGAAAAUGAUUUUUUAUGUGAAAAUAAAUGCUAGAACUUGUUUAAUUCAUAUAAAAUUCAUAUGAAGUCCAAAUCAAUACAUUCCAAUUUCUAUAAUUUUAUAAUAUUAUUGUCUACUAAUUAGUGCCACUUUUUUAACAAAAAAGUCACAUUAAAAUUAAUAUCCUAUUUAAUCUUGUGUUGAAUACAUAAAUCCUCUAUAAAAUCAUAACUCCUUAACCAUAACUCCGAUUUUAGUGGUUCUCGUUCUCACGGUCUCGUAGUAACGCGUAGAUUAUUAUUACACAGUUUAAUCUUAUGUUUGUUGUGAUGUUAAUUCUGCUUAUACCAUGUUUGUUUGUAUUGCUACGACUAGCGUGAGGUCACGAGUCAUCUGAAGAUCAUCCUGGUACCUGGAAUCUCAAGUCCCAGGCAAGUUGUGCCCUUGAUCACUUCUUUUUACCCACUCAUGUUCUAAUUAAUCAUAAUGAUCUGCAUAGGUUAAUUUUGAUGGGACCCAAUAGGUUACCCUAGUUUGAUUAUCUUUAUACCUUGUUUACCACUGAACUUUUUGGGUAGUACUUGCUAGUGCUUUAUGUGGUUUUGGGUAUGAAGAUACAUUAUUCAUGAUCACACUUUUAUUAUCUGUUUAUUAUCACUGUUCAUGAUAAGAUCAUUAUGUUAAUUGGAACAUGGAGCGACCACCCGGGAAAACAGUGCUACCACAAGGGUUUAUGGACGCCCUUGGCUGAUUAAUUAGGAAAGCUAGUGGAGGACUACCUUACUCGAAAGGGGCAAGGGCAGUAGGGGAGUGGUCAGUGUAGGGAGGUCCUUGGUUGAUUUUGCUGCGAUGGCGGUCAGGCAAGAACCCUGCAUUGGAGCUUCCUAUAAACUGUAGCGGGUUUUUUGAAGCUAGUGGAACUUUGUAAAGGCCUCGUAGUGUUACCCUGCCUCGCCUCCUCGGUAGAGGUGUAUGGGAAGUCGCGAUCCCUUGGCAGAUGGGUAACAUGACUUGUGGGUAAAGAUGUGCAACCUCUAGAGAGUGUAAAACUGGUAUACUAGCCGUGCUCACGGUCAUGAGCAGCUCGGACCCUCACAUGAUUAACUUAUGGAACUAAAUGCAAUUUGUCAUAUGCAUUGCAUCGCAGGUGAUGUUGUUACUUAUGUUCUACUAUUUAAUUGGGUUGGUACUUACUUAUACUUAGUAACUGCUAAUAAAAUUUUGACCAACUUUAAAAGCAAUGCUCAGCUCUAACCAUCCUCUUUGGUAAGCCUUACACUUCACGUGAGCUCCCACCUUUGGCGAGUUCAUGCACAUUAUUCCCCACAACUUGUUGAGCGAUGAACGUAUGUGAGCUCACUCUUGCUGUCUCACACCCCCCCACAGGUUAAGAACAGGUACCGCAGGAUGAGGCGCAAGGAGGAUGCUGCGAUGAGUUCGUGAGAGAUCUAGGCCGUCGUCUCCCAGUCAACUUUGGGUUGCUGGACCGUUGUCUCCUUAUAAUGUAAUUAUUUAUUUAUUUUGUAUAGAACUCCUAUUAUAUAGUAAAGAUGUGACAUUCGAUCCUGUGCCAUGAUUCAUCAUAUGUGUGAGACUUGGUCCCAGCACACCUGGUGAUUAUGUUCGCGCCCGGGCUUUGGACCCCUAAAACCCGGGUGUGACAGAAGUGGUAUCAGAGGAAUGUUGACUGUAGGACGAAACCUAGAUAGAACUGGACAACCAAUACUUACUUACCUUUGCUACUCUGAUUCUUUUCUAUACUUUUCUUAAUCUUUUCUCAUCUAUUUCCGCUUUACUCUGAUUAUCCUUACCUUUUCCUUCUAAAGACAAACUUGGAUUUCACACUUUGAAAUCUUGUGCCUAAAGUGAUCUUUAGGAAUAGGAGACCUACUCUUAGGAACAAAAACAAAACUAUUUUUGUAGGUAUCUAUAUACUUGAAUGUUUUGUUCUUAUGAUAAUUGUUUGAUUUGGUUCUUUGAUUGAGUGAGAUGAGUUGUGGAGUAAUGUCCACAAUGGCAUCUACAUAUACAUAUAAGCAUAAUAAAUGUCUUAUAAGAUAACUAGCUAACCUAGAUUAUCCCCAUUGGAAUAUAUCUAGCUUAAGAGAUUUAUCUUAUCCUAAAAGAUCCCAUUCUAACCAAUUCAUCUUAUCUUAAAAGAUUCUCUCUUAUCUUAAUAGAUUCAUCUUAUCUUGAAAAGAUUUUAUCUUAUCCAAAUAGAUCUAACUUACCUCAAAAGAUUCUACCUUAUCCUUAUGGAUUCAUCUUGCCCUAAUAAGCAUAUUUACCCCACACUAGUGUAACAACCAUGAUUUAAUCCAAAGUAAUUAGAUAUUGUUUAAUCUAAUCUAGUGAUAUCAAUCUAAUCUAGACUACAUCUAAUCUACUAUGAUCCAAUCUAAAAUGAGUUACCUAACAAGAUAGUCAAUCCUGGUGGAAUACAUUAGACCCUGCUCCUUUAAAUAAGUUUGAGAUCUUAGAUCAACUUGACCCUACCCAACAACUUGACCUACAAAACAGGUUACACAACUAAUUCCAUCUAGCAUAUAGCUAUUGAACCCUUUACCCAUCUUGUAACAAACCUAGAUGAAGACACCAAAGCUCGAGGAAGAAAGGAUCAACCGCGUUAAGGAAGGAUAAGAGUCAAGCCAAAUAUGGUCUUCAGCCCCAACUCAAGCCUUCAAAGAUCAAGCUAGAUCACCAAGAUGAGUCAAGAUCCACAAUCCGAGAUGGAGUUCUUCCUUACCCUACUAUGUCCUGCCCUAACCUAUCCAUCUCUUAUUCCACAUAAUAAGUAGCUGGAUACAUAUGCUCUCCUAAUCACCCACUAUUGACUAACAAAAUGAGACUCUGAAUUUUUGAACCAAUUAUAGACUAACAGCUGACCAAUCCUUUUGUGUCCCUUUUCUCACAAAUCUCGAGGACGAGAUUUCUGUUAAGGGGGGUAGGAUUUGUAAAGCCCAAAAUUUAUGUAAAAAUAAUAAUAAUAUGCAAUCUAAUCCAUCCCUUAUAAGCUAUGUAUUAAGAAUACUCUUUAAAGUAGUUAGAUUAAAAUAAUUUAUUAUAGGAACUUCCCAUUAUCCUCUACUAGAAUAAAAAGGAAUGAUGAUUCUAAGAUUUUAGUAACUCAAAAUUUUGAUUGGAAACUAGAAAUUAAAAUUUGAACUCCAAACAUAAAAAUGUGUGAUUUCCAAACUAAUUGGUUUCGAGAGAAUACUCCUUACUCGAAUAGUAUCUUUAGAGGGGUCAACAUGAAUUAAUUAAAAUAAACCUUGCAUCAUGCUGGGAUUUUAUGGCUUGUGCAUUUAGGUUUGUCAAACUUAAACUUGAAUUUGAAUUUGUGAACCGAAAAUUGACUUGAAU
rnacentral:lncRNA from 1 species